UUGCUCAAAGUGGAGUGAUGAAAGCUCCUUCUGGGAGUGCUGGGGGAGAGGGUUUAAGUCUCUAAAGCUGCAGGACUUUGCAAGUGGCUGAGCUAGGAGUGGCUGGUUUAUUUUGUUUCUUUGGGGGAUGACUGGCUGGAGUAAGCCUCCAUUUCUAUCCUUUUUUUACUUCGGGCUGGGCUGCAGGAAACACCAAGGUGCUCUCCUUUCACCACUCUUGCAUACCCCACAAGAAGAGGACUCUUUUCAGUUUGGUCAGAGAGCCAAACAACCUGACUUAUGAAAGGGAACCACAGCACAGCCAGAGGGAAACUGAGGCAGCAACCAUUCCCUGAACUAAGAGAAAGUGAUGCUAGCAAACUACUAUGGCAUGGCCUGAGUUUGCGUGAAACAUUAUAUGGUGGAAUGUUACCACAACAUGGAAGGCAUCUGGAUGCCGGUCUCCCGCUGAUGCUCCAGAACGAUCCAUAAAGCAGAGGAAGACAGACACUCCUCUGCCUUGGACCCCUAUUUAAAUCCUACCUCUUAAGAGCUAAGGAAUAUUAUAACCACUGAUCUUUGGCAUAUUCUGAUGUGCGGCUCCUUCAGUCUCUCCCCUUGAAGCUGCUCCACUUUGGAUAAAUAUUUAAGUAGUCACUGGAGCAGGAAAAUUGGACACUGGGUCUCCCACCUCCCAGGUGGGUGUUCUGAACAUCAG